GUCUCCGUGGCGCAAUGGAUUAGCGCGUUGGACUUCUAAUUCAAAGGUUGUGGGUUCGAGUCCCACCGGAGGUG
rnacentral:tRNA from 1 species